rnacentral:rRNA from 1 species
UACGAACCGUGCGAACGUUGUUCGGAUUCACUGGGCAUAAAGGGCGCGUAGGCGGGUCGUUUGGUCCGUGGUGAAAGCCUCCCGCUUAACGGGAGAAGUGCCGCGGAGACGGGCGAUCUCGAGGGGGGGAGGGGCAUGUGGAACUUCCGGUGGAGCGGUGAAAUGCGUAGAUAUCGGAAGGAACGCCGGUGGCGAAAGCGACGUGCUGGACCCCUUCUGACGCUGAGGCGCGAAAGCCAGGGGAGCAAACGGG